AAACUGAGGCACGGGGGAAGGAAAGGGGCAAAAACAUUCUGUGUCUGGCUGACUCUGCCGGGAGCUGAAACCCAGGACUCCAGGGGCUGUGCCCGGUGGUGCCCUCAGAACUCCUCGUGUGUCAAUGCCACCGCCUGUCGCUGCAGUCCAGGGUUCAGCUCUUUUUCUGAGAUCAUCACCACCCCCACGGAGACUUGUGACGACAUCAACGAGUGUGCAACACCAUCGAAAGUGUCAUGCGGAAAAUUCUCGGACUGCUGGAACACAGAGGGGAGCUACGACUGCGUGUGCAGCCCGGGAUAUGAGCCUGUUUCUGGGGCAAAAACAUUCAAGAAUGAGAGCGAGAACACCUGUCAAGAUGUAGACGAAUGUCAGCAGAACCCAACGCUCUGUAAAAGCUACGGCACCUGCGUCAACACCCUUGGCAG
rnacentral:lncRNA from 1 species